CAGAUAUCAGUACCAUAACAUCACUGACACCGAAUACCACAGAUAUCAGUAAGUUAUCAUCACUGACACCGAAUACCACAGUGAACAGUACCACUGGUGUGAUGUCUGUUCC